UACCACUUUUCACUAUUACACUCAGUUAAUUCAAAGACCUAUAGGCCCUUAUUCAUAAAACAUAUCAGAGUAGCAGUGCUGACCCAGGAUCAGGCCCCUCCUGUCCAUGUAAUCUUAUUCAUUAUGAUCUGGAUCAGUUUUCCCUAUUAAUGUCACCACUCCUACUGUGAGACUGUUUUUGGAUACAUGCCAUUACCCAAAAUGAAUGUCAGUGUUCUGUCAUGAUAUUCAAUCUAUCAAUCAUUCAAUCAAAUUAUUUGUCAUGUGCAGAAUACAACUGGUGUAGACUUUACUUUGAAAUGCUUGUUUAUGAGCCCUUCCCAAUGAUGCAGACUUUAAAAAUUGAAUAGUAACACGAGGAAUUAAAUAAAAUACACAAGAAUGGAGCUUUAUACAGGGAGUACCAGUACCAGACCAGUGUGGAGCUAUAUACAGGGAGUACCAGUACCAGACCAGUGUGGAGCUAUAUACAGGUAUUACCAGUACCAGAUCAGUGUGGAGCUAUAUACAGGUAUUACCAGUACCAGACCAGUGUGGAGCUAUAUACAGGGAGUACCAGUACCAGACCAGUGUGGAGCUAUAUACAGGGAGUACCAGUACCAGACCAGUGUGGAGCUAUAUACAGGGAGUACCAGUGCCAGACCAGUGUGGAGCUAUAUACAGGUAUUACCAGUACCAGAUCAGUGUGGAGCUAUAUACAGGUAUUACCAGUACCAGACCAGUGUGGAGCUAUAUACAGGUAUUACCAGUACCAGACCAGUGUGGAGCUAUAUACAGGUAUUACCAGUACCAGACCAGUGUGGAGCUAUAUACAGGUAUUACCAGUACCAGACCAGUGUGGAGCUAUAUACAGGUAUUACCAGUACCAGACCAGUGUGGAGCUAUAUACAGGUAUUACCAGUACCAGAUCAGUGUGGAGCUAUAUACAGGUAUUACCAGUACCAGACCAGUGUGGAGCUAUAUACAGGUAUUACCAGUACCAGACCAGUGUGGAGCUAUAUACAGGUAUUACCAGUACCAGACCAGUGUGGAGCUAUAUACAGGUAUUACCAGUACCAGAUCAGUGUGGAGCUAUAUACAGGUAUUACCAGUAC